ACGUACAUUCUUUGAACUUUUUGUUAUAGUUGUUGCUGUAGCUCAAUUCAUCCUGCCACUCUCUCAAUUCAGGCACGUGUGAUCAGCGUUCCCCUACGCUGCACGUGCACGUGCACGAGAAGCCGCCAUGUUCGGAGCCACCAUAAAAAGGUACAGAUUCACUGCAGAGAUCUGCCUUGCCCUCCUUCGGCUGGCGAGUGACAGCAAACGGGCAGGAAAAGUCUCUCGUGAAUCGCAAAUACGUUGGGCAUCGGAACAAAGGAUCUCCGAUCAGCGCUGUGCAAGUUGAGCUGGUCAGGGCCACAUCCUGGAUCCAUGAGCCGAGAAAACAGGUCAUCGUGACAACUGUGCGUGUGAACGAGAACCUGCUGAGGAUACAGUAAAAAUGAACGAGGGACCCCUGUGCUAAGACCGAGCGCAGGAAGAGGCGAGAGGGGUUAGGAAUGAACGACUCGGCGUCACACGCACCUCUGCACCCCCUCCACCUGCUCCUUGCUGAAGCUCUUGGC